GACGAACGCUGGCGGCGUGCCUAAUACAUGCAAGUCGAACGAAGCUGUUUUAACUGGUGCUUGCACCGACUUAAACAACUGAGUGGCGAACGGGUGAGUAACACGUGGGUAACCUGCCCCAAAGCGGGGGAUAACAUUUGGAAACAGAUGCUAAUACCGCAUAACCACAGAAACCACAUGGUUUCUGUGUCAAAGAUGGUUUCGGCUAUCACUUUGGGAUGGACCCGCGGCGUAUUAGCUAGUUGGUAAGGUAAUGGCUUACCAAGGCAAUGAUACGUAGCCGAACUGAGAGGUUGAUCGGCCACAUUGGGACUGAGACACGGCCCAGACUCCUACGGGAGGCAGCAGUAGGGAAUCUUCCACAAUGGACGAAAGUCUGAUGGAGCAACGCCGCGUGAGUGAAGAAGGUUUUCGGAUCGUAAAACUCUGUUGUCAGAGAAGAACGUGUGCGAGAGUAACUGCUCGUGCAGUGACGGUAUCUGGCCAGAAAGCCACGGCUAACUUCGUGCCAGCCGCCGCGGUAA
rnacentral:rRNA from 1 species